CCUACGGGAGGCAGCAGUGGGGAAUAUUGCACAAUGGGGGAAACCCUGAUGCAGCGACGCCGCGUGAGUGAAGAAGUAUUUCGGUAUGUAAAGCUCUAUCAGCAGGGAAGAAAAUGACGGUACCUGAGGAAGAAGCCCCGGCUAACGACGUGCCAGCAGCCGCGGUAAUACGUAGGGGGCAAGCGUUAUCCGGAUUUACUGGGUGUAAAGGGAGCGUAGACGGCAGCACAAGUCUGGAGUGAAAUGCCGGGGCUUAACCCCGGAACUGCUUGGGAAACUGUGCAGCUAGAGUGCAGGAGCGGUAAGUGGAAUUCCUCGUGUAGCGGUUACAUGCCUAGCUAUUAGGCGG
rnacentral:rRNA from 1 species